rnacentral:rRNA from 1 species
CCUACGGGUGGCAGCAGUAGGGAAUAUUGCACAAUGGGCGAAAGCCUGAUGCAGCAACGCCGCGUGCGCGAUGAAGGCCUUCGGGUUGUAAAGCGCUUUUCGGGGGGAUGAGGAAGGACAGUACCCCCGGAAUAAGUCUCGGCUAACUACGUGCCAGCAGCCGCGGUAAAACGUAGGAGACUAGCGUUAUCCGGAUUUACUGGGCGUAAAGCGCGUGCAGGCGGCCUGGUAAGUCGGGCGUGAAAGCUCCUGGCUCAACCGGGAGAGGCCGUCCGAAACUACCGGGCUUGAGGGCAGAAGAGGGAGGUGAAAUUCCGGGGGUAGUGGUAAAAUGCGUAGAUAUCCGGAGGAACACCAGUGGCGAGGGCGGCCCCCUGGACUGUCCCUGACGCUCAGACGCGAAAGCUAGGGGAGCGAACGGGAUUAGAUACCCCUGUAGU